rnacentral:lncRNA from 1 species
AAGAAAGUGGUUCAUUGAGUUGCUUCAAAACUUUUGACUAUUAUUCAUCUCCGCAUCAAGACCGUUACUUUGUAUUUUACCACUGUGAAUAAACUCUGCCAACUCUAUACAACCAAAAACAAAUUUUAAUUUCGUGCUACAUCACAAUGCCAAGGUCAUUUUUAAUACGUAAAAGAAUGAAUCUCAGGCAGUCUAACCAGCCGUCUUACCAGGCCUCUAACCAACAGCCCGACCAACAGUCUAACCUACAAGCUAACCAACAAGCUAACCAACAGUGCAAACAGUCCGACCAACAAUCUAAUCAGCAGCCUAAGCAGCAGCCACAGUCUAACCAACAAGCUAACCAACAGUCUAAUCAGCAGCCUAAGCAGCAAUCACAGUGGCGUCCAGUUACUCCACCACCAAGUCCUGAGGAUGCAAAACCAUCACCAUCAAUGUCAACAUCGUACACCUGCUCCAGUUCAUCGAAUACUUCAUCAUCAUCUGAUCUCAGUGAACACCAGAGUGUUGUGUUGAACCUUAAAGUGGAUUCCAAACCUGUACACCAUGCAGCCAAAAAGAUUAAGUCUGAACCUAAAGUUGUUGUUACUGAGGAAAUGUACCAGCAGUCCGUUGAAACUGCUCGCAAUAGUAAAGAUGGUAGUAAUGAUGGGAUCCCAGCUACCUUUGCUCCAAGCUUCAGGUCUCUAGCACAAAAGCUGAAAAUUCCUCUUCACAUGUUUAGUUCUGUCGAUUUUGUUAAUGGCGG